UGUUCGUCAGCCGAGGCAUAAAAAACUCGAAAUUUUUGGUCGAAAACCGAAUUGUCGAGAACCGAGACGUUCGAAAAACGAGGUUUGACUUUAUUUAUAAAUUUUGUGUUUGUGGUAU